rnacentral:misc_RNA from 1 species
CGGGCGGGGGCUCCGGGUGGACACUUCAAACUCUUGCGUAACUUUGCAGUCUGAGUAAACUUAAUUAAUAAAUUAAAACUUUUAACAACGGAUCUCUUGGUUCUGGCAUCGAUGAAGAACGCAGCGAAAUGCGAUAAGUAAUGUGAAUUGCAGAAUUCAGUGAAUCAUCGAAUCUUUGAACGCACAUUGCGCCCCCUGGUAUUCCGGGGGGCAUGCCUGUUCGAGCGUCAUUUCACCACUCAAGCCUCGCUUGGUAUUGGGCAUCGCGGUCCGCCGCGUGCCUCAAAUCGACCGGCUGGGUCUUCUGUCCCCUAAGCGUUGUGGAAACUAUUCGCUAAAGGGUGUUCGGGAGGCUACGCCGUAAAACAACCCCAUUUCUAAGGUUGACCUCGGAUCAGGUAGGGAUACCCGCUGAACUUAAGCAUAUCAAUAAGCGGAGGA